AAAAAAGGUAAGCUACUAAGAGCGAAUGGUGGAUGCCUUGACUGGUAAAGGCGAUGAAGGACGUACUAGACUGCGAUAAGCUACGGGGAGCUGUCAAGAAGCUUUGAUCCGUAGAUUUCCGAAUGGGGCAACCCAAUGUAUAGAGAUAUACAUUACCUAUAUAGGAGCGAACGAGGGGAAUUGAAACAUCUUAGUACCCUCAGGAAAAGAAAUCAAUAGAGAUUGCGUCAGUAGCGGCGAGCGAAAGCGCAAGAGGGCAAACCCAGUGCUUGCACUGGGGGUUGUAGGACUGCAAUGUGCAAGAGGUAAGUUUAGCAGAACAUUCUGGAAAGUAUAACCAUAGAGGGUGAUAGUCCCGUAUGCGAAAAACAAACCUUAGCUAGCAGUAUCCUGAGUAGGGCGGGACACGAGGAAUCCUGUCUGAAUCCGGGUCGACCACGAUCCAACCCUAAAUACUAAUACCAGAUCGAUAGUGCACAAGUACCGUGAGGGAAAGGUGAAAAGAACUGAGGUGAUCAGAGUGAAAUAGAACCUGAAACCAUUUGCUUACAAUCAUUCAGAGCCCUAUGUAGCAAUACAGGGUGAUGGACUGCCUUUUGCAUAAUGAGCCUGCGAGUUGUGGUGUCUGGCAAGGUUAAGCAAACGCGAAGCCGUAGCGAAAGCGAGUCUGAAUAGGGCGCUUAGUCAGAUGCUGCAGACCCGAAACGAAGUGAUCUAUCCAUGAGCAAGUUGAAGCUAGUGUAAGAACUAGUGGAGGACUGAACCCAUAGGCGUUGAAAAGCCCCGGGAUGACUUGUGGAUAGGGGUGAAAGGCCAAUCAAACUUCGUGAUAGCUGGUUCUCUCCGAAAUAUAUUUAGGUAUAGCGUUGUGUCGUAAUAUAAGGGGGUAGAGCACUGAAUGGGCUAGGGCAUACACCAAUGUACCAAACCCUAUCAAACUCCGAAUACCUUAUAUGUAAUCACAGCAGUCAGGCGGCGAGUGAUAAAAUCCGUCGUCAAGAGGGAAACAACCCAGACUACCAGCUAAGGUCCCUAAAUCUUACUUAAGUGGAAAACGAUGUGAAGUUACUUAAACAACCAGGAGGUUGGCUUAGAAGCAGCCAUCCUUUAAAGAAAGCGUAAUAGCUCACUGGUCUAGUGAUUUUGCGCGGAAAAU
rnacentral:rRNA from 1 species